GCGCCAGGCGCCUCGACGUGGCGCACAAUGCACCGAGAGCCGCAACGCCGCCAUCGAUGCCCACGCGCCGCACGAUUUCGACCAGACACUCGUCGGGCAGAUCCAACAACCGCCGCCGAUGCAAAUUCGCAUCGGUGCCGGCACCUUUUGCACUGUUGCUCUCGACAUCGCCAUCGUCGUCGUUAUUGCCAUCAUUAUCCUUACCACCACUAUCAUCGUCGUCGCACAAAUUGCGCGUCGGCCCAGAACGGUCCGUGCCGUCUCGACCGUCGCACGGGCCAGGUUGCCUCUGCCCUUGGCCCUUGGCGCGAUCGCGCGUAAUGACCACGUCCAUGUCCCCGUUUUCCUCUUGGUGUAGGUCGAGAUUCCGCCACCGGCGCGCCGUCGUGGUGUUGCCACCGCCGACGGCGGGCAGAGCGACGGUGGUCCGCACAUCACGCCACACGGGACCCGCCGUCGGCGUAAAAAAAAAAGAAGAGAGCACGCAACGGCGCCAGCAGGAGCA
rnacentral:lncRNA from 1 species